rnacentral:rRNA from 1 species
GACGAACGCUGGCGGCGUGCUUAACACAUGCAAGUCGAACGAAGUGGCGAACGGGUGAGUAACGCGUAAUCAACCUGCCCUUCAGAGGGGGACAACAGUUGGAAACGACUGCUAAUACCGCAUACUGAAGGAGGGGAUUGCGUCUGAGUAGCUAGUUGGAGGGGUAACGGCCCACAAAGGCGAUGAGCAGUAGCCGGUCUGAGAGGAUAACCGGCCACAUGGGGACUGAGACACGGCCCAGACUCCUACGGGAGGCAGCAGUGGGGAAUCUUCCGCAAUGGACGAAAGUCUGACCGAGCAACGCCGCGUGAGUGAAGAAGGUUUUCGGAUCGUAAAACUCUGUUGUUAGAGAAGCGGUAUCUAACCAGAAAGCCACGGCUAACUACGUGCCAGCAGCCGCGGUAAUAC